GCGGACGCCAGCGACAUUUGCAAGUUAGUGCUUUAAACGUUAAUCCAUUUUGUGCUUAAUUCAAACUAAUUAAAAACGGCUCUACUCACGCAUCAAUGAUAACGGAGACCAACACGCGUCUGGGUUAAAAUUAUCUAAUAAAGUCUAUUAAAAUAAAAUAAUAGUACAUACAAAACUGAUCAAUAUUGAUCUGCUCGUUCUUUAUUAUUAGUUUAUAAUAGACACGUGUGCAUAUUGUAAAUGACGGAGGCGUGUGUGUGUGUGUGUGUGUGGCAGGAGCAACGUGAGCGUGGCGGGCAGCGCGGCGCGCGUGUCGCGCGAGGCGGCGGGGGCCGCGCUGGGCGCCGCGCCGCCGCGCGCCGCGCCGCAGCGGCUGCCGGACACGGUGGACAAGUGGCACUAUAUAUCCAACCUGUGAGCGCCGCUGCGAGUUCGCCGCGUGCUUCCCGCGGCUGUAAUGUGACAUUCUGCUCGUCCUAUUUAUUUUUAUAAUUCGCAUCAAUUGCUAAAUCGUAUCAUUUGUUAUAACGAAAAUAUUGUAUUAACAAAACGGUGUUCGGUAGUUCUACAAAGUUUUAAAGGUACAAAACGUAUUUAAUGAAAAAACCGUUAACAGCGCUGUGGAUUUAUUGUAAUUUGUAAUAUAUAAACAUACGUGUAAGGAUAUUGUAAAACAAUAGCAUAAGAAUCAUGAUUACAUUGUGUGAGAUUACUUAACAUUUUGAGUUUUUUGAAGUUCCCUAUUACGAUUUUAGUAAUGUUAAAAAAUUUUGUCUGUCCAGUAGUUUUUGAGUUUAAUGAUUACAUACAAAAAUACUUAUCUUUCGUCUUGUGACAUCAUAGCUGCUAGCCGCUACAUCGAGCAGUAUUAAAAAACUACGCAACUCUCGGAAAGCUGACGUUGUCCGAGGAUGACUGUACGCCGUGUUUUCCUGCAGAUUUUGUUUUAUAUCAGUGCCAAAUUUCAUUAAGAUACAUGUUGAACCAUUUCAGAAUUAACUAAUAAACAUGAAAACGUAAAUAUCCGCGGGAAUCGUAACUAUUUCCGGGUACUUAAGUACCCUGUGUUCCUCCAGACUAUCUACAUUCUUGCCAAAUGUUUUCGAGAUUCUUUCAGCCGUUUAAGCUACAAACUGUAGCAUCCAUUCAUGCAAACUUUCACAUUUAUAAUAUUAGUAAUUCAAUCAAUUAGUAGGCGAGGGUCAGUGACAUCAUCACCGUCAAGCCUCAAGCGCCUCAAGCGCCUCAAGCCUUUAACUCGGAGCAGGUCACUACGAGUAUUAAUGCAGUCGCGAGUUUGAGUGUCAUUUGCGCUUCAGAGCCAAAAAGGCCGAAACAUUCUAGCUUUUUACAAGCUUUUAUACAGAAGAAAGUUUUGCAUAUUUGUAUGUACCACUAAGCCGAUUUUAAAAAAUCUUUCACCAUUGAAAAGGUAAUUUAUCUGUGAGUAACAUAGGCUAUGUUUUUAUUUAUUUACUUUAAUAUUACGGGGACCAAGUUGCGAGCAACAGCUAUGUUGGAUACAUUGUCAAGAGUUGCUACAAAUAGUUACUGCCGAAAGAGACGCAGUAUCUAAAUCUAUCUAAAAAAGUAUCUAGGUACUCUAUGCCUAGAGGUCUGAAUUGAAAGGCUGGCCACCGAGGGGGUUUUAGUGGGUACAAACCUCACAUAACCCUGUCUUCUCCCAGAAGGAAGGGUAUCUUUUUGAAGACCUCCCCCCCCCUCGAUACAAAAAAAAGGUACUAUAUGUGAUAAACAUCUUGGCGACUCGAAAUUUCGCAUGAUUAAGUGCGCAGAUAUAACGAUGCGCGCGGAGUGCCCUGAGCAGGUGAGCAGCGCGCAGCUCAAGGUCAGUCGCCCGCUAGAUUGAAACAUCAGACUACCGAAAAGUUAACAACUACAAGUCGUUACGGAGCUGCUCAAUCAAACCGCGGGUUUCCCUUUCGACACAUCCAUACAGAACAUAAUAUUAUUGUCUUAGUUUUUUUUAAUUGAAUUGAAUUGACAAAAUGUUUCAAUAGACGAAACACAAGGUAAAUCGUCAGGGAACGAUUCCGUUUUACAGCAAUCGAUCGUUGUAAAUAUUUACUGAAUGCAAACACUUACUGAAAGUAAGUACUUAUUGUAAGUAUACACUUACACGGCACGCUUUUGUUCGAGGAGCCGCGGGCGGUGGCGGCGGGUGCGGGGUGAGACAGUGAAAGCCUAUGUCUAUGUCGGGAGGCUGUACGGGGCCGGUAUCGACCGAUCGCGGGUGGCGCGGGGCGCAGGGCGCGCGGCGGCGCGGGGGCUCGCUGCGACAUAGACACACCACACGGCGGCGAAACAAUUUUAUCUGUUCAUUGCUAUAUCUUUCAUCUUCCUUAGUAGCAUCUGCUAGUUUUGUCCGUAUUGCAAAAGUCUUGAUGAUCAAAAGGAUGCUGAAGAAUAGUUACUGAAACAGAUGCCGUUGCCUGAGGCUGCCUAGCCCUUAGUAGAAUUGUUAGAUUCAAUAAUUUCGCAUGUGACUCCCGGCCGGCAGACGUAUGACCCGACAAGUCCGGUGAAGUAAUAUAAGUACCUUUCUCACUUAUCAAUACAAUAUGAUAUUGUAACCGUGUAUGCGUUGAUAUCUUUUGUUGUCCUUCGAUUAAACUUUUUUUUUGUUAAAAUAUAGCUAGACAUUGAAAAAUUUCUGGUGUGAUGUGAGGCGAGGUGCAUGGUAGCGGUCUUUUUGCCUUGGUCGAGGGUCGAGGGGACUGGUUGGGGGCCGCGGGGAACGGGAUGCGGGUGCGGGCGCAGCGCGACGCGGCGCGGCAGUAGUGCGGCGGCCGGAGUCUCGAGUGCUCGCGUGUCCCGAGCGGUGUGAGUGCGUGCAGUGGAGCAAUGCGCUGCGCAGCGUGGGCGGUGGCGGCGACGGCCCUGCUGGCGCUGGCGUCCUGCGAGCGCCGUACGGACACCGACUUCGAGUUCGAGGACGCCCCGGAUUUGCAAACGGCGCGUUCGAGACGCCCACGGCGCUACAUCUAUGACCCGCAAAGUAAGUGUAGGUCCUCGCCGCCGCC